GACGAACGCUGGCGGCGUGCUUAACACAUGCAAGUCGAACGGAAAGACCCUGCUUUUGUGGGGUGCUCGAGUGGCGAACGGGUGAGUAACACGUGAGUAACCUGCCCUUGACUUUGGGAUAACUGCAGGAAACUGGGGCUAAUACCGGAUAGGAGCUCCUGCGGCAUGGUGGGGGUUGGAAAGUUUCGGCGGUUGGGGAUGGACUCGCGGCUUAUCAGCUUGUGGGUGGGGUAGUGGCCUACCAAGGCUUUGACGGGUAGCCGGCCUGAGAGGGUGACCGGCCACAAUGGGACUGAGAUACGGCCCAGACUCCUACGGGAGGCAGCAGUGGGGAAUAUUGCACAAUGGGCGGAAGCCUGAUGCAGCAACGCCGCGUGCGGGAUGACGGCCUUCGGGUUGUAAACCGCUUUCGCCUGUGACGAAGCGUGAGUGACGGUAAUGGGUAAAGAAGCACCGGCUAACUACGUG
rnacentral:rRNA from 1 species